rnacentral:lncRNA from 1 species
AUGGAUGAGAGAAGGCAGACGGCGUGGAGCUGUGCUGGGGACAUGGCAGCAUGGAGGUCAUUAAACAGGAUUUCUCAGAAAGACACCCACAUGAUCACCAUGGUGCUCACAGAAGCCUUUGUUGGGAGGAAGUUCACCCAUCCUGGCAAGGGGAGCAGGAGGGAGAGAAGCCCAUGUGAGGUGGAUGCUGUGUGUGCUGCAUGUUCCUUCUCUGAUCAGCCUGGCCAUAGAAAGAUGCAAUUCCAAGUGCCAGCCUGCGAAGCCAGAGCAGCACAUCCCUCCUGCUGUGCCCUCUCCAGGAACCAACACAGAAGGUCCUCAGGAGGCUGA